rnacentral:rRNA from 1 species
ACCUCUUCGGAGGUCAGCGGCGGACGGGUGAGGAACACGUGGGUAAUCUGCCUUUCAGACCGGAAUAACGCCCGGAAACGGGCGCUAAUGCCGGAUACGCCCGAUGGGAGGCAUCUUUUGUCGGGGAAAGGGCCAACCGGUCCGCUGAGAGAGGAGCCCGCGGCGCAUUAGCUCGUUGGCGGGGUAACGGCCCACCAAGGCGACGAUGCGUAGCCGGCCUGAGAGGGUGAACGGCCACACUGGGACUGAGACACGGCCCAGACUCCUACGGGAGGCAGCAGUAGGGAAUCUUCCGCAAUGGGCGCAAGCCUGACGGAGCAACGCCGCGUGAGCGAAGAAGGCCUUCGGGUUGUAAAGCUCUGUUGCUCGGGGAGAGUGGCGCGGGGAGGGGAAAGCCCUGCGCGAGACGGUACCGAGUGAGGAAGCCCCGGCUAACUACGUGCCAGCAGCCGCGGUAAAACGUAGGGGGCGAGCGUUGUCCGGAAUCACUGGGCGUAAAGGGUGCGUAGGCGGUCGAGCAAGUCUGGAGUGAAAGUCCGUGGCUCAACCAUGGGAUGGCUCUGGAAACUGCUUGACUUGAGUGCUGGAGAGGCAAGGGGAAUUCCACGUGUAGCGGUGAAAUGCGUAGAGAUGUGGAGGAAUACCAGUGGCGAAGGCGCCUUGCUGGACA